AUCUCUGUGAUGAAUCGCCAUCUUGAGACUGUGCUCGAGUAUUUUCUUAUCCGCGGUCUCCGCUGCCCUCGCCACAAAGCGACCAAUUGCGUCGUCACGGUCGUCGGUGUAAUAGACACAGGUGUUGGUGUGUCUAGUCACCGCGACUACAGCGUGCGAAACGCUGUCGUGGAUCCUGAGCCUCCUCGCCUUCGUCUGGAGGACAAUGACGUCCUCGUAGGUCUGGCCCUGCGCCUCAUGGAUAGUUAAGACGGACCCGUAUCCCUGGUCAGUCAGCAAUCUCUUCUCCUCUUGCGUAAAAACCGGAUACAAGGUCCGGUCCCUUCCUACAAGAAUGCGCGCGCCCGUGAGGCUCUCCACUUGCAAAGAUCGGAUCUUUGUGCUUGAGCUGUACACGGUCUUGUAAACCUCACUGAUGGCAAAGGCGACGUCUUUGGGAUUACGAUGCGUGCAUGACAACUCACAUGAGAUGGUUGUUAACAGGGUUGGUCUGCGGUAUCGCAUUUCGAACAGGUUGUCCCUGUCGAUGUACGGCAGCUGAUUUAUAUCUCCAAUGAGGACUACCUUCUCUGCUCCCGAUAGUCGGGCGGCCAUUACUAUGGCUCCGAAAUGGUUCAUGAGGGCUUCGUCCGGGGGUUAAUUUCGUUAGCACCAUACACCUCCUCUCGAAACAAUAUUGAUGUUAUACUAUAAGUAUUAUUCAAAAGGUAUUGAACUCUAAAAAAAAAGUGACAAAAUGUUUUAUAGUGUACUUAGCUGACCCCGCAAACGAUUCUUUGCCAUAUAUGUUAUUAACCCGCUUAAUUCCCCCCCCCCUUAUAACUUAGGGGUAUGAAAAAUAGAUGUUGGCCGAUUCUCAGACCUACCCGAUAUGCCCACAAAAUUUUAUUAAAAUCGGUCGAGCCGUUUCGGAGGAGUUCAAUGUUUAACACCGUGACACGAGAAUUUUAUAUAUUAAAAAUUUAAGUUGAUAUUAAUAAUUUAUUUGAAGUUAUUUCGGCAAAAAAUAUUCUUUUAUAUUAGAGUUCCUUCGUAUAAACGUUCCUAGUUUUCUGCCACCCGAUUUAUGGAAAAAUAAAAUUUCCUCAACUUUAUGAAAUUUUCCCAAUUACCUAUAUCCCCUUAUGUUAUCGUGCGUCGUAUAUAUUUUAUGUGAAUAAUAUUUUAUUUUUUUAUUCUUAGGUAAAUUUUUAC
rnacentral:misc_RNA from 1 species